AAUCCCAAUCCCAUCCCAACCCCCAUCCCAUCCUCAUCCCAACCCCAUCGUAAUCGCAAUCCUAUCCCAUCCUAAUCCCAAUCCCAAUCCCAAUCCCAAUCCCAAUCUCAUUCCAUCCCAAUCCCAUUCUCAUCCCACCCCAACCCCAUCCUAAUCACAAUCCCAUCCCAAUAUCUCAGUCCCAUCCCACUCCAUCCCAUCCUAAUCCCAAUCCCAUCCUAAUCUCAGUCCCAUCCUAAUCCCAAUUUCAUCCCCAUCCUAAUCUCAUCCCAAUCUCAGUCCGAUCCUAUCCCCGUUCCAAUCCCAUCCCAUCCCCAUCUCAAUCCCAUCCCAUCCUAAUCCCAAUCCCAUCCCAUCCUAAUCCCAAUCCCAUCCCAAUCUCAGUCCCCUCCCAUUCCAUCCCAUCCCCAUCCCAUCCUGUCCUAAUCCCAAUCCCAUCCCAACCCCUGUCCCACCCCAAUCCCAUCCUAAUCCCCAUCCUAAUCUCAUCCAAUCUUAUCCCAUCCGCAUCCCACCCCAAUCCUAUCCUAAUCCCAAUCCCAUCCCAAUAUCUCAGUCCCAUCCCACUCCAUCCCAUCCCCAUCGCAAUCCUAUCUAAUCCCAAUCCCAUCCCAAUCCCAAUCCCUGUCCCAUCCCAAUCCCAUCCCAUUCCAAUCCCAUCCCCAUCGCAAUCCUAAUCCCAAUCUCAUCCCAAUCCCAGCCCCAUCCAAUCCCAUCUCAAUCCCAUCCCCAUCCAAUCCCAAUCCCAAUCCCAAUCCCAUUCAUUCCAAUCCCAAUCCCAGCCCCAUCCAGUCCCAAUCCCAGUUCCAUCCCAAUCCCAUUCUCAAUCCCAUCCCAAUCCCAAUCCCAUCCCAUUCCAGUCCCAAUCCCAGCCCCAUCCAAUCCCAGUCCCAUCCCAAUCCCAUUCUCAAUCCCAUCCCAAUCCCAUUCGCAGCCCCAGCAGCCCUGUGGUGGCAAUGGUUCAUUUUGAGGCAUUUUGGGACAUUUUGGUGCUAUUUGGGUUCUGCUCCAACAUUUUGGUGCCAUUUUGGUGCCAUUUUGGUGCUAUUUGGGUUCUGCUCCGACAUUUUGGUGCUAUUUUGGUGCUAUUUUGGUGUUAUUUGGGUUCUGCUCCGACAUUUUGGUGCCAUUUUGGUGCCAUUUUGGUGGUAUUUGGGUUCUGUUCUGUCAUUUUGGUGCCAUUUUGGUGCCAUUUUGGUGCUAUUUGGGUUCUGCUCUGCCAUUUUGGUGCCAUUUUGGUGCUAUUUUGGUGCUAUUUGGGUUCUGCUCCGACAUUUUGGUGCCAUUUUGGUGCCAUUUUGGUGCUAUUUGGGUUCUGCUCUGCCAUUUUGCUGCCAUUUUGGUGCCAUUUUGGUGCUAUUUGGGUUCUGCUCCGACAUUUUGGUGCCAUUUUGGUGCUAUUUGGGUUCUGCUCCGACAUUUUGGUGCCAUUUUGGUGCUAUUUUGGUGCUAUUUGGGUUCUGCUCCGACAUUUUGGUGCCAUUUUGGUGCUAUUUGGGUUCUGUUCUGUCAUUUUGGUGCCAUUUUGGUGCUAUUUUGGUGUUAUUUGGGUUCUGCUCCGACAUUUUGGUGCCAUUUUGGUGCUAUUUGGGUUCUGCUCUGCCAUUUUGGUGCCAUUUUGGUGCCAUUUUGGUGCUAUUUGGGUUCUGCUCUGCCAGUUUGGUGCCAUUUUGGUGCCAUUUUGGUGCUAUUUGGGUUCUGCUCCGACAUUUUGGUGCCAUUUUGGUGCCAUUUUGGUGUCAUUUGGGUUCUGCUCCGACAUUUUGGUGCCAUUUUGGUGCUAUUUUGGUGCUAUUUGGGUUCUGCUCCGACAUUUUGGUGCCAUUUUGGUGCCAUUUUGGUGCUAUUUGGGUUCUGCUCUGCCAUUUUGCUGCCAUUUUGGUGCCAUUUUGGUGCUAUUUGGGUUCUGCUCCGACAUUUUGGUGCCAUUUUGGUGCUAUUUGGGUUCUGCUCCGACAUUUUGGUGCCAUUUUGGUGCUAUUUUGGUGCUAUUUGGGUUCUGCUCCAACAUUUUGGUGCCAUUUUGGUGCUAUUUGGGUUCUGUUCUGUCAUUUUGGUGCCAUUUUGGUGCUAUUUUGGUGUUAUUUGGGUUCUGCUCCGACAUUUUGGUGCCAUUUUGGUGCUAUUUGGGUUCUGUUCUGUCAUUUUGGUG
ensembl:lncRNA